rnacentral:rRNA from 1 species
UACGUAGGCACCAAGCGUUGUCCGGAUUUAUUGGGCGUAAAGAGCUCGUAGGCGGUGUGUCACGUCGGCCGUGAAAACCUGCAGCUUAACUGUGGCGUGCGGUCGAUACGGGCAUCACUGGAGUUCGGCAGGGAGACUGGAAUUCCUGGUGUAGCGGUGAAAUGCGCAGAUAUCAGGAGGAACACCGGUGGCGAAAGCGCUCUGCUAGGCCGCAACUGACACUGAGGGACGAAAGCUAGGGAGCGAAUGGG